AACGAACGCUGGCGGCAUGCCUAACACAUGCAAGUCGAACGAAGUCUUCGGACUUUGUGGCGCACGGGUGUGUAACGCGUGGGAAUCUGCCCUUGGGUACGGAAUAACUCAGAGAAAUUUGUGCUAAUACAGUAUAAUGUCUUAGGACCAAAGAUUUAUCGCCCCAGGAUGAGCCCGCGUAAGAUUAGCUAGUUGGUGGGGUAAAAGCAUACCAAGGGGUCGUUGUUUAGCUGGUUGGAGAGGAUGAUCAGCAACACUGGGACGAAGAAACGGCCCAGACUCCUACGCAAGGCAGGAGAGUGGAAUAGUGCACAAUGGGGGAAGGCCUGAUCCAGCAAUGCCGCGUAAGUUAUGCAGGCCCUAGGGAACUAAAGCUCUAUUACCAGAGAUGAUAAUGACGGUACCUGGUGAAUAAGCACCGGCUAACUCCGUG
rnacentral:rRNA from 1 species